rnacentral:rRNA from 1 species
AUUGAACGCUGGCGGCAGGCCUAACACAUGCAAGUCGAGCGAGCGGCGGACGGGUGAGUAAUGUAUGGGGACUGCCCGAUAGAGGGGGAUAACUACUGUAAACGGUAGCUAAUACCGCAUCCUAUCGGAUAACCCAUAUGGGAUUAGCUAGUAGGUGAGGUAAUGGCUCACCUAGGCGACGAUCCCUAGCUGUUCUGAGAGGUUGAUCAGCCACACUGGGACUGGGACAAGGCCCAGACGCCGACGGAGGCAGAAGGGGGGAAUAUUGCACAAGGGGGGAAAGCCUGAUGAAGCCAGGCCGCGUGUAUGAAGAAGGCCCUAGGGUGGGAAAGUACUUUCAGUCGGGAGGCGUUACCGACAGAAGAAGCAACGGCUAACUCCGUGCCAGCAGCCGCGGUAAUUC